GGAAGUAAACGUCGUAACAAGGUUUCCGUAGGUGGACCUGCGGAAGGAUCAUUAUUGUAUAACCGAGGUGCGAGGGCUGUCGCUUACCCGAAAGGUCGGGCACGCCCGAGUGCCCUCACACACAUCCAUCUCACCCCUAUGUGCACCACCGCGUGGGUCCCCCUUUGGCUUGUUCGGAGGGGGGCUUACGUUUUCACACAAACUUUGUAUGCAGUGUAGAAUGUAUUUUUUGUUUUUGCGAUCACGCAAUCAAUACAACUUUCAACAACGGAUCUCUUGGCUCUC
rnacentral:misc_RNA from 1 species